rnacentral:tRNA from 1 species
GACCGCAUAGCGAAGUGAUUUAGCGCGUCUGACUUCGGAUCAGAAGGUUGUGGGUUCAACUCCCACUGUGGUCG